rnacentral:misc_RNA from 1 species
GAAAUGCGAUAAGUAAUGUGAAUUGCAGAAUUCAGUGAAUCAUCGAAUCUUUGAACGCACAUUGCGCCCGCCAGUAUUCUGGCGGGCAUGCCUGUUCGAGCGUCAUUUCAACCAUCAAGCCCCCGGCUUGUGUUGGGGACCUGCGGCUGCCCGCAGGCCCUGAAAAACAGUGGCGGGCUCUCUGUCACACCGAGCGUAGUAGCAUACAUUCUCGCUCAGGGCGUGCUGCGGGUUCCGGCCGUUAAACGACCUUCAUAACCCAAGGUUGACCUCGGAUCAGGUAGGAAGACCCGCUGAACUUAAGC